AGAGUUUGAUCCUGGCUCAGAUUGAACGCUGGCGGCAUGCCUUACACAUGCAAGUCGAACGGCAGCACGGGAGCAAUCCUGGUGGCGAGUGGCGAACGGGUGAGUAAUAUAUCGGAACGUGCCCAGUCGUGGGGGAUAACGCAGCGAAAGCUGUGCUAAUACCGCAUACGAUCUCUGGAUGAAAGCGGGGGACUCGCAAGAGCCUCGCGCGAUUGGAGCGGCCGAUAUCAGAUUAGCUAGUUGGUGGGGUAAAGGCCCACCAAGGCGACGAUCUGUAGCUGGUCUGAGAGGACGACCAGCCACACUGGAACUGAGACACGGUCCAGACUCCUACGGGAGGCAGCAGUGGGGAAUUUUGGACAAUGGGCGCAAGCCUGAUCCAGCAAUGCCGCGUGCAGGAUGAAGGCCUUCGGGUUGUAAACUGCUUUUGUACGGAACGAAAAGGUCUGCCUUAAUACGGUGGGCCCAUGACGGUACCGUAAGAAUAAGCACCGGCUAACUACGUGCCAGCAGCCGCGGUAAUACGUAGGGUGCGAGCGUUAAUCGGAAUUACUGGGCGUAAAGCGUGCGCAGGCGGUUAUAUAAGACAGAUGUGAAAUCCCCGGGCUCAACCUG
rnacentral:rRNA from 1 species